GCCGCCUCACCCUCCGCCACUGCCCCGCGGGACCGCCCGAGGACGGCCCGCGACCCACUCUCUCCAGAUCCCUGCUCCGUCCCAACACUUUUCAGUCAGAUCCCCGUCAGGUACCUCAGAGCCGCGCUGGCUCCGCCACUGCUUCAGCUGGUCAGAGGCGUCGUCCCGGUCGUCAGCCAUUUUGCAAGUUUAGGCGACCCCCGAGGCAGGAAGGGAGAUGCGGAGAGAAAAAGGACUGAGAGAAAGGUUGGAGCGGCGGGACUGCGAUCGCUACCAGAGAGAAGGUGACAGCGGAGAGGUGAACCCGUGGGGAGAAGGCACCGCUGCGCCGCGCCCUGCAGCACCAGCAAAUAGCGGGAGCGACUGCAUCUUCUACCUCAGCACUGUGCCCACCCCCCGCUACCUCCUCUACCAAUAGCUCCGCGCCCUGCGGGAAUUGCUGGUUGUGAGUGGGUGAGAGGGACGUCAAUCAAGCGUCGGAAAAGGGCGGGCUGGGGGUGCCCCCGGCAGUUCGCCGCCUCAGGCGACCGCGGGGCUGCAGUGUUGGUUUGUUACUUGGUUUUCAGUGUGUCACUGAUGGUCAUCAUCAAGAAGCUUCAUUUCCUAUUUCGUGCUGGAAAGACAGCUGCAAUAUACUUCCUGAGAUAACUGAAAUAACAAUAGUAGGACAAGAAAUGUAGCACUGUUCAGGUGCAGUGAUUUCUGAAUUUUCCUAUGAAUGGUGAUUGCCACUGGAAGAGACAAUAAUGUGAUGAAAAGAAAGCUUGUGGGGGGAAAAAACCCACAAAGAAAUCAACUAGAGGAAUGGCAAUAAACAAGAUGGAUUUGCUGUAAUGACAGCACAUACAGACUCUGGGAAACAAAGGAGAACAAAGAAG